AGUAUUAGUUAAGGACUUUAAACCCAAAGAAUUUGGCGGUAUCUUAUUCCAUUCAGAGGAACCUCUCCCAUAAUUGAUAAUACACGAUUAACUUUACUUAAUUUAUUUGUUUGUAUAUCUCCGUUAUCAGAAGAUCUUUUUAGAGUUAUAAUUUUCUAGAUUUAUAAUUUUGAAGUAUUUCAGGUCAAGGUGCAGCUUAUAAUUAAGAGGAGAUGGGUUACAAUAAAUUUAAUUUAAACGGAUUUGGUAAUAAAAAUUGUUAAUGAAGGUGGAUUUGAUAGUAAUUUAAUUUAUUUAAUUUAAUUGAUAUUGGCUCUAAGGUGUGU
rnacentral:rRNA from 1 species